rnacentral:lncRNA from 1 species
ACUUCCUCUCGUGUCCACAUCUCAGCCCCCUCCCAUACCCACCCGUGUCUGUCUUUGCACCCGUUUCUUGACCUCUGAACCUUUGAAUUCCUUGCUCACGGUCUGAUUUUAACCUUUUCAUCUGAAACCUUUGCGUACAUCUGUUGCUCUCUUUGCCGGUUUACCCCCCCCCCCCCCCCCCCUCUCUGCAAGGACGUUCGUCUUUCCACCUUUCUCCACUGUCUGUCUCACAGCUCCGUCCAGUGCGACAAGUCGCUCCACUGCAGCCCCUCAGAAAAUCUAAAAAUGGAAAGUUUUCUACACAUCGAAGAAAUUAUCUCCCGCCCGCCUCGACCAGAUAUCUCCUGUCUUCUUUUUCCCCUUCAAGGCUCACAGAAACGCUGUAAUCUUUUUUUUUUUUUUUUUUUUUCUCCGGACAUGUGCUCGACAGAGUUUCUGAAACUGAACUUUUCUUGAACAAUGAAAGACUGAAAAAAAAAAAGAAAGAGAGAACAAACAAGACAGCUGGCCUGCGGUGACAAUGAAACAAAAUGGCUGCUGGUCGGAGCGCCUUCGCUCACGCCGCGAUUACCACCUGACUCCUCUCGCUGGGUGACUCACGAUGAUGGCACAGCGAUGGUUCUGGAGGGCGGUCACAGCCAAUGAAUGUUUACAGCUAAAAUGCUAAUAAGCUAAUCGCUCUGGCUCCGGAGGCCUCCGUCUCUGUGGGGGGAGGAACAGCGCGGGGAAUCUGACGCAGAUCUUCGUCUUUUGUUGCGCUGUAGGAACUGGAGGGCUCCCGAUGUGUUCCGCUGGUGAAUCUUGGAAGAUGCACACUGUAUUACUUAAAGUCUGCUCAUGUAUUACACUCAGCAAGAAUUGAAAGACGCCUUAAGAACUGGUCACAGUCUGCUUAUUUACUCAUCCGCUCAGAUUGCUUCUUUUAUAAAGUCUGAUUUAAGUGGGUCUUAUUUUUUUUCACCCUGAUGCUUUAAAAAAUCUUAUUAAACGCAAUCAGAAAAAAAAAAAUGCUGAAGUUUUUUUUUUUGUCUGAAAGUGGCGAUGAAGUGGUUUUAACCACAGCUGAUGUAACCAUUUAAAGUCAUUUGCUGUUUGAUCAUCAUGUCUCUUUUAUUUUUGUUGUUGCAGUUUUUAAAAUCUGCCUGUGAUGGUUUUUCUUGUGUCAUCUCCUGUGGACAAUAAAGAUUUCUCUCAUUGCUGUAGAUAA